ACGAACGCUGGCGGCGUGCUUCACACAUGCAAGUCGAACGGUGAAGCCCUUCGGGGUGGAUCAGUGGCGAACGGGUGAGUAACACGUGAGCAACCUGCCCCUGGCUCUGGGACAACCACUGGAAACGGUGGCUAAUACCGGAUACGACCCGCCUCGGCAUCGAGUGUGGGUGGAAAGUUUUUCGGCUGGGGAUGGGCUCGCGGCCUAUCAGCUUGUUGGUGAGGUGAAGGCUCACCAAGGCGACGACGGGUAGCCGGCCUGAGAGGGCGACCGGCCACACUGGGACUGAGACACGGCCCAGACUCCUACGGGAGGCAGCAGUGGGGAAUAUUGCACAAUGGGCGAAAGCCUGAUGCAGCGACGCCGCGUGAGGGAUGACGGCCUUCGGGUUGUAAACCUCUUUCAGCUCCGAAGAAGCGAAAGUGACGGUAGGAGCAGAAGAAGCACCGGCUAACUACGUG
rnacentral:rRNA from 1 species